GUUUGAAGAUAAUUGUAAAGCUUGUAAAUCUGUGAACUUUGUGAAAGUACCCCUCCUUUAACAAUACUAACUAUUACGACUGUCAACUUUGUCAUGAAUCGGCUUGGUCAUCGAGUGGGAGGUAAGGUUGGGGUUUCCUGCUUCUGGUUACUGGGUAUAGCUCUACCAUGGAGGAAGGAAAUCAUGGUUCUACCGAAUUGAAUGCAGUUUAUCAGCCAAGAGUGACCCUUUCCUGUUUGUUAUACUUGCAUCAAGCUUGUAUGUUAAAAUCUAGUUCCUCAUAACCUACAUGUAACACUCAAAUGUGUAAAAGCCUUGCUCUAAAAGUCACUCAAAACAAAACAAAUUCUGACAUGUUCGCAUUAUUGUUCCUUAUUAUCUGACUGGAAGUUCGUGAACCGUCUCUUUUUGGGGCACCGUAUAUGUGACGGAUACACAUAGUUGAUUUACAGAUUCGCCAUUGCUAAUUUUGGAUAUAGCUGCUGGUUACGGGUGUGCUGACGUAUACUGUCUUUGAAUCAAGUUCUCCAAGUAUCUUUACACAUAGGGUCAGCGAUGGCCAAUAUGACAAUGAACAUAAAGGCUUCAUUGGGGUCACUUCAAGCAGCACGAUUUGCUUGGUUUCUCAUCCUCCUUCUCGGGGGACAAUUGGUCCGAUGCGAACAUCACAUGGGUACGAACGUGACCAUUCCCUACGAUUUGACAGACACUGCAGCGGAGUUAAAGGAAUACUUUUGUAAUAUCUGCAGCGACGUGAUGGUGACACCAUGUUUGCCUUUCGGAAGUGGGUGCACCUUUUGUCAGAAGCUAUGUCAGCCGAACUGGGGUCAGAGAAUGGAACUACCUGUAUGUCAAAAGUACUAUGAUAGUCCAGAAUG